rnacentral:rRNA from 1 species
GAUGAACGCUGGCGGCGUGCUUAACACAUGCAAGUCGAACGGAAAGGCUCCUGCUUGCAGGGGUACUCGAGUGGCGAACGGGUGAGUAACACGUGGGUGAUCUGCCCUGCACUUCGGGAUAAGCCUGGGAAACUGGGUCUAAUACCGGAUAGGACGAUGGUUUGGAUGCCAUUGUGGAAAGUUUUUUCGGUGUGGGAUGAGCUCGCGGCCUAUCAGCUUGUUGGUGGGGUACUGGCCUACCAAGGCGUCGACGGGUAGCCGGCCUGAGAGGGUGUACGGCCACAUUGGGACCGAGAUACGGCCCAGACUCCUACGGGAGGCAGCAGUGGGGAAUAUUGCACAAUGGGCGCAAGCCUGAUGCAGCGACGCCGCGUGGGGGAUGACGGCCUUCGGGUUGUAAACUCCUUUCGCUAGGGACGAAGCGCAAGUGACGGUACCUGGAGAAGAAGCACCGGCUAACUACGU